rnacentral:rRNA from 1 species
GGCGAACGGGUGAGUAAUAUAUCGGAACGUGCCCAGUCGUGGGGGAUAACGUAGUGAAAAUUACGCUAAUACCGCAUACGAUCUAAGGAUGAAAGCGGAGGAUCGCAAGACCUCGCGCGAUUGGAGCGGCCGAUAUCAGAUUAGGUAGUUGGUGAGGUAAAGGCUCACCAAGCCAACGAUCUGUAGCUGGUCUGAGAGGACGACCAGCCACACUGGAACUGAGACACGGUCCAGACUCCUACGGGAGGCAGCAGUGGGGAAUUUUGGACAAUGGACGCAAGUCUGAUCCAGCCAUUCCGCGUGCAGGACGAUGGCCUUCGGGUUGUAAACUGCUUUUGUACAGAACGAAAAGGUCUCUAUUAAUACUAGGGGCUCAUGACGGUACCGUAAGAAUAAGCACCGGCUAACUACGUGCCAGCAGCCGCGGUAAUACGUAGGGUGCAAGCGUUAAUCGGAAUUACUGGGCGUAAAGCGUGCGCAGGCGGUUAUGUAAGACAGAGGUGAAAUCCCCGGGCUCAACCUGGGAACUGCCUUUGUGACUGCAUAGCUAGAGUACGGUAGAGGGGGAUGGAAUUCCGCGUGUAGCAGUGAAAUGCGUAGAUAUGCGGAGGAACACCGAUGGCGAAGGCAAUCCCCUGGACCUGUACUGACGCUCAUGCACGAAAGCGUGGGGAGCAAACAGGAUUAGAUACCCUGGUAGUCCACGCCCU